rnacentral:rRNA from 1 species
AUUGAACGCUGGCGGCAUGCCUUACACAUGCAAGUCGAACGGUAACGGGCCUUCGGGUGCCGACGAGUGGCGAACGGGUGAGUAAUGCAUCGGAACGUACCUUUCAGUGGGGGAUAACGUAGCGAAAGUUACGCUAAUACCGCAUAUUCUGUGAGCAGGAAAGCAGGGGAUCGCAAGACCUUGCGCUGAUUGAGCGGCCGAUAUCAGAUUAGCUAGUUGGUGAGGUAAAGGCUCACCAGGGCGACGAUCUGUAGCGGGUCUGAGAGGAUGAUCCGCCACACUGGAACUGAGACACGGUCCAGACUCCUACGGGAGGCAGCAGUGGGGAAUUUUGGACAAUGGGGGCAACCCUGAUCCAGCCAUGCCGCGUGAGUGAAGAAGGCCUUCGGGUUGUAAAGCUCUUUCGGCCGGGAAGAAAUCGUAUCAGCUAAUACCUGGUGCGGAUGACGGUACCGGCAUAAGAAGCACCGGCUAACUACGUGCCAGCAGCCGCGGUAACAC